rnacentral:rRNA from 1 species
UACGAAGGGGGCUAGCGUUGCUCGGAAUUACUGGGCGUAAAGCGCACGUAGGCGGCUUGUUAAGUCAGGGGUGAAAUCCUGGAGCUCAACUCCAGAACUGCCUUUGAUACUGGCGAUCUUGAGUUCGAGAGAGGUGAGUGGAACUGCGAGUGUAGAGGUGAAAUUCGUAGAUAUUAGGAAGAACACCAGUGGCGAAGGCGGCUCACUGGCCCGGUACUGACGCUGAGGUACGAAAGCGUGGGGAGCAAACAGG